CGUGACUUUACAGUGGGUAGGAAUUUGACAAUGUUAAGGUAUGCGUAGUGCUUAAGUAAUUGACAAAAAUUCCUAGCCCAUGACUAUUGCCUCCAAAUCUUUGGUGAAGACAUCUUGAAUUUAUUAUGCCUUCAGAUGUCAAAAUAGUCUUGGUUUUGUGUGGUCCUUAAAAGUUAUUGACAAAAAUUCCAAGCCCAUGACACUUGCCUCCAAAUCUUUGGUGAAGACAUCUUGAAUUUAUUAUGCCUUCAGAUGUAAAAAUAGUCCUUUUGGGAAGAUUUUGUUCAAAGGUACUGUUAGUUUUGCAAGUGAAUUUAAAAGGUACCUUUGAAGUAACUCUAUGCUAC
rnacentral:lncRNA from 1 species